rnacentral:misc_RNA from 1 species
AGUUAGAAUUCCUGAUUCAUAAUUGCAGUGCGUCUUCAUAGUUGAUAUUCACAGAUGAUUUCUUUGUGCAUUGUUGUUUUAGGUCUGCCAGGCCUUGUUCAAGGUCUAGAAAUAUCUUCAAAGUUUAUGUCUGGCGAUGUGAUAUUCAUUUGGGCACCCUCUCCUAAUUCCUCUGGGUUCGAUGUACUGAUAACGUUGGAUACAGUUUCACGUAGCUGGACUCGGGUUAACGAUACACAGUACACUGUUAGAAGCGCCUUGUUAUAUAAAGCAAUCAACAUCAGACUAAGAUCAUUGACAUUGGAGCAGGAAGAAAGUGAAAGGACGUUCAGAGUCUCUCAAGUUAAAACACAGAUAGGAGACAAUGCGAACAUAACCUGGAUAGCUCCUUAUUUCCCAUCUUCCGGUCAAUAUAACGUUUACCACACAUAUCAAGUCAACAGAAGUAUAUUCACCAUUAGCAGCAGUGGAGAACAUUAUAAUGAAAUAGAUAGGCAGACACCCAAGUACCAGUAUCUUACCAGGCCACUUGAAUCAACCAAUAUCGCGUUUAUGAUACGGAACACGACAUUGGAGGAUUCUGGGUAUUAUGCCGGGGGAGUUUCCUCUGAAGCUGCGUGGAUGGAAGGGGGCGUUGUUCUAAUUGUUCUAAAUAAACCUUCAAAACCAAAUAUUAAGGGAGAUACGGACAAAAUGAUAGAUAUGUAUACCGCGCUGACAUGCUUCAAUAAUCCAACAUCAGCCCCUGCCUACUAUUCAAAGCUCGUCCUCUUGUCUUACAUCUGGUUUGUCAAUAACACAAAGAUGGAUGGAGAAACCGAUCAGACUCUGCGAUUUAAGGUCACCAGAGGUCACAAAUACAAUCGGUACUCGUGUGCAGCAACAGAAGACGAACUGCAGUCAGAUCGAAGCAAUACAGUAAAGAUAAAUCCUCUGUACGGACCAGAAAAACUGAUAUUGACUCCACAACCCACAUUAAACAAGUUUAAUACAUUAACCAUAAAGGAAGGGGAGACAAUCGGUCCAUAUCAAUGUAAAGUUGAUUGUAACCCACCGUGUCAAACAACCUGGAAAUACAUAGAUUCUACAGGAUCCAUCCAUGUCCUCUUAAAUGACGGAAUGUUAGUGCAACAACGAGUAAAAAGAAAUGUUUCCUUGAUAAUUUGUGAAGCAACAUGGGGAAUAGAUACAGUGAUAAACAAAAGUAUCACUCUUGAUGUUCAAUACCUAGGAAAACCAAUUAUCUUUAUGAAUGACAUAAUGACUUUUAACUGGGAAGAAAAGGAACACACACCAUUGCAAAUAUCAUGCUAUGUGGACGGAAAUCCACCUCCAACUAUUCGACUGAUUAGGGGUCAGGGGACCUCUAAAACUGAAUUGGAAGGGAAAGAGGACAAAUGGUUGAACUACACUAUAGAAUCAUCCCAGUGCAAUGAUUCAGAUAAUUAUAUAUGUGCUGGAUCAUCUUCAGCAUUCAACAGGACUAUGAAAGUAUUCAAAGUCAACGUAUUUUGUAAACCUAGAAUUGACGACUCUGUAUAUUUCAAACCAAUCUAUGGUUCAAAAACCGGAAGCAAUAUCACAGUCAAAGUAACUGUUCCAUUGGUUGGAAAUCCUGCUCCACAGACAUCAAAUUUCACUUGGGUUUCUCCUAAAUCAGAGCCGGUCAAUACAAUCAUUUUGCAAGGCGACGUUAUUUACAAACACUGCAUAGAAAGUACCGUAGAAAUGUAUGAUCGGAAUCAUUUUGGAAACUAUACAUUGAUGUACAACAGGGAAACCGUCGCAACAAUUACAAUUAUUCCAGAGGAUAAGCCUUGUCCUCCUGUCAACGUCACUGUGUAUUAUAUGACCAAUGGUUACAUAAAUGUGACGUGGUUUUCAGAGUUCGAUGGAGGACUCGAACAGUUAUUUAUUUUGUCAUUAAAGGGGAUAAAUUUGCGAAAACGAGUUUGACUAUCGUAUUCAUCACCUUUUCUUCUGUGAUUGGAUUGGUAUUAGUAAUGGUGGGAAUAUUUCUUUGCUUCAAAAUAACACGUGGAAGUUUCCGUCAAACCGGCAAAGCUGGUGACAAAAACAUUGAUACAAAAAGCUAUGGAAUGACUCAACACUACGAUGAUUUACAUGGUACAGAUCGAGAUGUGGCAUAUACGGCGUUAGGACAAUCAGAAAAGGAAGCUACAUAUGAAGACAUGUAAACAUACACAACAAAUACGUGUGCCAAAAUCUAAAACAAUGAUAAUGGACUACGUUCGAUAUGGUCAAAUAUCUGCCACUUUUUUUUUCUUCUAAUUUCAGAUAGUAUCGUAUUAAAAUCAAAUCUCAAUAAAAUUAUACAAAGGAUAUAUAUGACAAUGAACUAGAUAUAAGUCUAUAUUACCCGAUAGCCGCCCAUAUAUGAUGUCACUAAAUUUCAAUAAAUCCUGUAUUUUGCAAUCAGC